rnacentral:lncRNA from 1 species
ACCGAAACCGGUCCUCGUUACCGGAUUUCCUUACCGGAACCGGGUCUUACCGGAACCGGUUUUACCGGAAAUUUCCAAAGGUUCCGUCCGGUCCCUUAGUUACCGGAUUGGAACCGGUUUGGACCGGACCGGAACCGGUUCUUACCGGAUCAUUGUGUACCGGUAAUUUUUUUUUAUUUUUUUAUUAACUUUAAUUAUUAUAUAAUAUUAUAUUAUUAAUUAAUAAAAUUAUAUUAUUAAAAAACUUCAAUUUAAAACUUCAAACUUUAAAGUUACUUUAAAGUUUCA